UCAUAAAGAUAUCGGCACCCUUUAUUUAGUAUUCGGUGCUUGAGCUGGAAUAGUAGGUACAGCCUUAAGUCUACUUAUUCGGGCAGAACUAAGCCAACCAGGCGCCCUCCUCGGAGAUGACCAAAUCUACAAUGUAAUUGUUACAGCACAUGCUUUUGUAAUAAUUUUCUUUAUAGUAAUGCCAAUCAUAAUUGGAGGGUUUGGAAACUGACUAAUUCCACUAAUAAUUGGGGCCCCAGAUAUGGCAUUCCCCCGAAUAAAUAACAUGAGCUUUUGACUGCUCCCUCCCUCCUUCCUCCUCCUCCUUGCAUCAUCUGGUGUUGAAGCCGGGGCCGGAACCGGAUGAACAGUCUACCCCCCUUUAGCCGGUAACCUGGCACAUGCAGGAGCUUCCGUUGAUCUAACUAUUUUCUCCCUUCAUCUGGCAGGAAUCUCCUCAAUUCUAGGGGCAAUUAACUUUAUCACGACCAUUAUUAAUAUGAAACCCCCCGCUAUUUCUCAAUACCAAACUCCCCUGUUCGUCUGAGCUGUACUAAUCACGGCAGUACUACUGCUUCUUUCUCUUCCAGUUCUUGCUGCUGGUAUUACAAUGCUCCUUACCGACCGAAACCUUAAUACAACCUUCUUCGACCCUGCAGGGGGAGGGGACCCAAUUCUUUACCAACACCUCUUCUGAUUCUUCG
rnacentral:rRNA from 1 species